ACACAUGCAAGUCGAAUGGUAACAGGAAACAGCUUGCUGUUUCGCUGACGAGUGGCGGACGGGUGAGUAAUGUCUGGGAAACUGCCUGAUGGAGGGGGAUAACUACUGGAAACGGUAGCUAAUACCGCAUAACGUCGCAAGACCAAAGAGGGGGACCUUCGGGCCUCUUGCCAUCAGAUGUGCCCAGAUGGGAUUAGCUAGUAGGUGGGGUAACGGCUCACCUAGGCGACGAUCCCUAGCUGGUCUGAGAGGAUGACCAGCCACACUGGAACUGAGACACGGUCCAGACUCCUACGGGAGGCAGCAGUGGGGAAUAUUGCACAAUGGGCGCAAGCCUGAUGCAGCCAUGCCGCGUGUAUGAAGAAGGCCUUCGGGUUGUAAAGUACUUUCAGCGGGGAGGAAGGGAGUAAAGUUAAUACCUUUGCUCAUUGACGUUACCCGCAGAAGAAGCACCGGCUAACUCCGUGCCAGCAGCCGCGGUAAUACGGAGGGUGCAAGCGUUAAUCGGAAUUACUGGGCGUAAAGCGCACGCAGGCGGUUUGUUAAGUCAGAUGUGAAAUCCCCGGGCUCAACCUGGGAACUGCAUCUGAUACUGGCAAGCUUGAGUCUCGUAGAGGGGGGUAGAAUUCCAGGUGUAGCCCGGUGAAAUGCGUAGAG
rnacentral:rRNA from 1 species